GAUGCUGGAAUGCCCUGUAAUCCAAAGUUCCGACGCCCUAGGAUGGAUCUGCGGCCGAUUAGGUUGUUGUUGGGGUAAUGGCCCAACAAGCCCGUAAUCGGUACGGGUUGUGGGAGCAAGAGCCCGGAGUUGGAUUCUGAGACACGAAUCCAGGCCCUACGGGGCGCAGCAGGCGCGAAAACUUUACAAUGCGGGCAACCGUGAUAAGGGAACCUCGAGUGCCUGUAAAUGCAGGCUGUUCAGGUGCCUAAAACACACCUGAAUAAAGGGCCGGGCAAGACCGGUGCCANGCCGCCGUCGGUAAUACCGGCGGCUCGAGUGGUGGCCGCUUUUAUUGGGCUUAAAGCGUUCGUAGCUGGGUUGUUAAGUCUCUUGGGAAAUCUGGCGUGCUUAACCGUCAGGCGUCUAACGGGAUACUGGCAAUCUUGGAACCUCGGCUCGAGUGGUGGCCGCUUUUAUUGGGCUUAAAGCGUUCGUAGCUGGGUUGUUAAGUCUCUUGGGAAAUCUGGCGGCUUAACCGUCAGGCGUCUAAGGGAUACUGGCAAUCUUGGAACCGGGAGAGGUGAGGGGUACUUCGGGGGUAGGAGUGAAAUCCUGUAAUCCUCGAGGGACCACCUGUGGCGAAGGCGCCUCACCAGAACGGCUUCGACAGUGAGGGACGAAAGCUGGGGGAGCAAACCGGAUUAGAUACCCGGGUAGUCCCAGCCGUAAACUAUGCGCGUUAGGUGUAUCGGUGACCACGAGUUACCGAGGUGCCGAAGGGAAACCGUGAAACGUGCCGCCUGGGAAGUACGGUCGCAAGGCUGAAACUUAAAGGAAUUGGCGGGGGAGCACCACAACAGGUGGAGCCUGCGGUUUAAUUGGACUCAACGCCGGGAAGCUCACCGGAUAAGACAGCAGAAUGAUUGCCGGGCUGAAGACUCUGCAUGACUAGCUGAGAGGAGGUGCAUGGCCGUCGUCAGUUCGUACUGUGAAGCAUCCUGUUAAGUCAGGCAACGAGCAAGACCCACGCCAACAGUUGCCAGCAUGGUCUCCGGACUGAUGGGGACACUGUUGGGACCGCCUCUGCUAAAGAGGAGGAAGGAAUGGGCAACGGUAGGUCAGCAUGCCCUGAAUUAUCCGGGCUACACGCGGGCUACAAUGGGCAGGACAAUGGGCAUCGACACCGAAAGGUGAAGGCAAUCUCCUAAACCUGUCCUUAGUUCGGAUUGUGGGCUGCAACUCGCCCACAUGAAGCUGGAAUCUGUAGUAAUCGCGUUUCAAAAUAACGCGGUGAAUUUGUCCCUGCUCCUUGCACACACCGCCCGUCAAACCACCCGAGUGGGGUUUGGAUGAGGUUGCGGUUGUUGCCGCAGUCGAAUCUAGGUUCCGCAAGGGGGGUUAAGUCGUAACAAGGUAGCCGUAGGGGAAUCUGC
rnacentral:rRNA from 1 species